rnacentral:rRNA from 1 species
CUACGGGCCGCAGCAGUGGGGAAUAUUGCACAAUGGGCGCAAGCCUGAUGCAGCCAUGCCGCGUGUAUGAAGAAGGCCUUCGGGUUGUAAAGUACUUUCAGCGGGGAGGAAGGGGGUAAAGUUAAUACCUUUGCUCAUUGACGUUACCCGCAGAAGAAGCACCGGCUAACUCCGUGCCAGCAGCCGCGGUAAUACGGAGGGUGCAAGCGUUAAUCGGAAUUACUGGGCGUAAAGCGCACGCAGGCGGUUUGUUAAGUCAGAUGUGAAAUCCCCGGGCUCAACCUGGGAACUGCAUCUGAUACUGGCAAGCUUGAGUCUCGUAGAGGGGGGUAGAAUUCCAGGUGUAGCGGUGACAUGCGUAGAGAUCUGGAGGAAUACCGGUGGCGAAGGCGGCCCCCUGGACGAAGACUGACGCUCAGGUGCGAAAGCGUGGGGAGCAAACAGGAUUAGAUACCCUCGUAGUC